AGAGUUUGAUCCUGGCUCAGAACGAACGCUGGCGGCGUGGCUAAGGCGUGCAAGUCGCACGGACCGUGUGUUUGGGUAACUGGACGCGCGGUUAGUGGCGGAAGGGUGAGUAACGCAUGGGCAACGUACCCUGAGCAUGGGGAUAGCGGCGUCCCUUCGGGGACUUUAGCGAAAGUGCCGGUAAUACCCAAUGACAUCGGACGGUCACAUGGCCGACCGAUCAAAGGGCGGGGACCUUCGGGCCUGCCGGCUCGGGAGCGGCCCAUGUCUUAUCAGGUUGUUGGUGGGGUAACGGCCCACCAAGCCGACGACGAGUAGCCGGCGUGAGAGCGCGACCGGCCACAUCGGGACUGAGACACUGCCCGGACACCUACGGGUGGCUGCAGCAACGAAUAUUCCGCAAUGGGCGCAAGCCUGACGGAGCAACGCCGCGUGUAGGAUGAAGUCCUUCGGGAUGUAAACUACUGUCAGGGGUACGGAAGAGUUGUGCGCCGAAUAGGCGUACGGCUCGCUGGUAGCCAGACCAGCUCUCGACCGAACCCAGAGGAAGCCUCGGCUAACUCCGUGCCAGCAGCCGCGGUAAUACGGAGGAGGCGAGCGUUGUUCGGAAUUAUUGGGCUUAAAGCGCGUGUAGGCGGGGCGGUAAGUAUCUCGUGAAAGCCCCCGGCUCAACCGGGGAAUUGCGGGGUAUACUGCCGCUCUUGAGACAGGCAGGGGCGUGUGGAACUCUAGGUGGAGCGGUGAAAUGCGUAGAUAUCUAGGGGAACACCGGUGGCGAAAGCGACACGCUGGGCCUGUUCUGACGCUGAGACGCGAAAGCGUAGGUAGCGAACGGGAUUAGAUACCCCGGUAGUCUACGCCGUAAACGAUGCGCACAAGGUUCGAGGGUCUCUGACGACCUUCGUGCUGCAGCAAAAGCGAUCAGUGCGCCGCCUGGGGAGUACGGCCGCAAGGCUAAAACUCAAAGGAAUUGACGGGGGCUCACACAAGCGGUGGAGCAUGUGGAUUAAUUCGAAACAACGCGCAGGACCUUACCCGGGUUUGACAUGUGCGGAUGCCCCCGAUGAAAAUCGGGUAGGCUGCCCUUCGGGGUGAAACGUGCACAGGUGCUGCAUGGCUGUCGUCAGCUCGUGCUGUGAAGUGUUGGGUUAAGUCCCGUAACGAGCGAAACCCUUGUCGUUAGUUGCCAACGGACCUUCGGGUGCCGGGGACUCUAGCGAGACUGCCGGCGUCAAGCCGGAGGAAGGUGGGGAUGACGUCAAGUCCUCAUGGCCCUUAAGCCCGGGGCCUCACACGUGCUACAAUGGGGCGUACAGAGCGACGCGAAGCCGCGAGGUGGAGCAAAUCGCAGAAAGCGUCCCCCAGUUCGGAUUGGAGUCUGCAAUUCGACUCCAUGAAGUUGGAAUCGCUAGUAAUCGCGCAUCAGCUAUGGCGCGGUGAAUAUGUUCCUGAGCCUG
rnacentral:rRNA from 1 species